GGAUGCAAGGGUGCUCUGGCUGGGACAACAGUCACCCCGUUGAUUGCCAGGGUGGAUGAGGCUGAUCUGGCGACGUCCCCUUCCUCCCUCCACUGUACCAUGAGCGUCUCUCCUGAACCUGCAUGGACAGUCGAAGAGGAUGACCUUCCCUGAUAGAGGAGGACCAUUCUUCUUCAGUCAAGGGUAUCCAAGAAGCUGCGUGCCCCUUGGGCUAGAACCUGCAAACAAGCUCUCAAGACCCAUCUGUAGGAGAAUGUAGGGUGGUUACACUUCCAGGACUCCAGGCACAUCCAUAGUAUGGCAGUCUGCCUUUCUAG
rnacentral:snRNA from 1 species